UCUACGGGGUGCAGCAGUGGGGAAUAUUGCACAAUGGGGGAAACCCUGAUGCAGCAACGCCGCGUGAGUGAAGAAGUAUUUCGGUAUGUAAAGCUCUAACGGCAGGGAAGAAGAUGACGGUACCUGAUUAAGAAGCCCCGGCUAACUACGUGCCAGCAGCCGCGGUAAUACGUAGGGGGCAAGCGUUAUCCGGAUUUACUGGGGGUAAAGGGAGAGCAGACGGCAGUGCAAGUCUGGCGUGAAAGCCCGGGGCCCAACCCCGGAACGGCUCUGGAAACUGUGCAGCUAGAGUACUGGAGGGGCAGGCGGAAUUCCUGGUGUAGCGGUGAAAUGCAUAGAUAUCACGAAGAACCCCGAUUGCGAAGGCAGCAUACCGGCUCCACACUGACGCUGAGGCACGAAAGCGUGGGUAUCGAACAGGAUUAGAUACCCCUGUAGUC
rnacentral:rRNA from 1 species